GAUAAAAGAAACACAUCGAGACAAUUCUAUGCAAGAACAAAAGACUCAAAGGAGGAGAAGAAUGUUUUCAUUCUUCCAAUAUUUCCAGAGGAUAUUCAAAAGACAGAAAAAAGAACAAAAAGAGAAAUCUAAAAUGUCAGUUGCAAAAAGGAAUGAAUCCAGAGAAAAUAUUGCAGCAGAUAAAACAUCAACAGGUUGUUUAAAUAUAGUGUGUUUUAUAAAGUAAAGG